ACAGAGAGUGCGAACGUUGUUCGGAAUUACUGGGCUUAAAGCGUACGUAGGCGGCAUAACAAGUGUCAGGUGAAAUCCCACGGCUCACCCGUGGAACUGCCUGGCAAACUGUUAAGCUAGAGUGUGGUAGGGGAGAACAGAACUCAUGGUGGAGCGGUGAAAUGCGUAGAUAUCAUGAGGAAUACCGGUGGCGAAGGCGGUUCUCUGGUCCACAACUGACGCUGAGGUACGAAAGCUAGGGUAGCGAACGGG
rnacentral:rRNA from 1 species